GCUAGAGGUGAAAUUCUUGGAUUGACUCAAGACCAACUAUUGCGAAAGCAUUUGCCAAGGAUGUUUUCAUUAAUCAAGAACGAAGGUUAGGGGAUCGAAAACGAUCAGAUACCCCUUUGGGGGGCUUUUUCUUUUACAGAAAUAGUCCUGUACAACCCUCAACGUGGGCCAAAGGGUGAACACCUGUAUAAGGUGGCCAAUAUGUACUUAAGUGAAGCCAAGUAACAUAUGGAUAACUGGAAAUGCAUGGCCU
rnacentral:ncRNA from 1 species